rnacentral:tRNA from 1 species
GUCUCUUUAGUGCAGUAGGUAGCACAUCAGUCCUAUAAGCUGAAGGUCCUGAGUUCAAUCCCAAAAGGCG